rnacentral:rRNA from 1 species
AUUGAACGCUGGCGGAAUGCUUUACACAUGCAAGUCGAGCGGCAGGCGCGGGGGCAACCCUGGCGGCGAGCGGCGAACGGGUGAGUAAUACAUCGGAACGUGUCCUUAAGUGGGGGAUAGACUCGGCGAAAGCCGGAUUAAUACCGCAUAAGCUCUGAGGAGGAAAGCGGGGGGCUACCGUAAGGACCUCGCGCUGUUGGAGCGGCCGAUGUCGGAUUAGCUAGUUGGUGGGGUAAAGGCCCACCAAGGCGACGAUCCGUAGCUGGUCUGAGAGGAUGAUCAG